AUGCUGGGGACCCUCUGCACUCUCAUCACUGCUCUCACAUGUGUGAGUGGUGUGACGGUGGUGACACAGAAGCCUGUUGUAGCCGUGACGACAGGAGAGACAGUCUCCAUAGACUGUAACCUCGGGACUGUUACUGACAAUUCUGCUCGCUGGUAUAAACAGAUUCCAGGAGGAGUUCCUCAGUAUGUAUUACGUUUUCAUAGCAGCCACAGCUCUCCAACAUAUGGCACUGGUUUCUCAUCUCCAAAGUUCACAUCCACUCAUCAGUCUACUUCAGAUUAUCGUUUGACCAUAAAGAACAUCGAGGAGGGAGACUCAGCCGUCUAUUACUGUAACACAUGGGACGACUCUGUUAAAGAGUGGGUAUCACAGUGAUUUACACUGUGACAAAAACCUCUUCACUGAGUACUUCUGCUUUUUGAGACGCUGACACAUUUUGAGUGAAGCCAUCUGUCAGUUUCUGUAACUUAUAUUUCAUCUUAACAGAUAUUUGAAGUGGUAGUUAUUUAUAUUCAUAAUAUUUGUAUACACACCUAAACAAAAAAUAGAUGAUAAGCUUUCCUUCAAAGAUAAUCUGACAGACAAAGACGGGCUUCAUCAUUUUGAUGUUCUUUACAAAAAAGAUUAACACACCUUUUUGAAACACCAGGAUUAUUAUUGUUACUAUAAGACGUUCCAAGACGACUUGAAGAACAAAUACAACAAAAGAAUAAGAAUAUGUUUUAUAAUGUGAUGCAAGAAACAUAAGGUUGCUUCACAUCAAACUUGAUUAGUGGAAAUUAUACAUUUCUGUGCAUUUAAAACUCCACCAUUUAGUCAAUAAUACAGUAAGUAUGGUAAAUAGUAUUUGCCUCAAAAAUAUGACAGCUUUAAAAACUUUCCCAAACUUGUAUUUUUUCAGACGCCAAUCUUUCAAACUCAAUAUUCAACAAUGUUUAAUGAAUUCCUCAAUGUGACAAUGUCUGACUGCAGCACAUAAAUGAUGAUUCCAUUUAUCUAGAUCUUUUCUGACAGUGCUUUUUAAAACAUUAUACCUUUUGGAAAUAAAAAACGGCCGAUGGUCGUUUGUAAAAAUGUUACUAUGUUAUGGUUCUGGAUUCCUGUGUCACAUUGUGUCACACAAGUUUAGAUGAGUUCAAAGAAUACCAUGAGUAUAAUAUGCUUUUCUGUCAGUGAUAAAGAGACACGAAAUAUGUUGUUUUACAAAAUGCUUUUUAUUCAAAAGGUUUUACUACAUUUUACCGUUUGCAAAGCGGAUACAACACCUCUACCUAAGUGUCAACAACAUGUACUACAAGCGUGGAGACACAUGUUCUAACAUGUAACGCUCGUGAUGAA